rnacentral:lncRNA from 1 species
UAUCCUCUAUCCAUACAGUCAGAUUAACACAACCACACAUGCAUUCAGCAUACUCAACCUUCUAGACAACUUUGAUUUUCAACCACAGAAGUAUCUCCUAUUUCAUCAACAAUCAAGAGUACCUGCCUUUUCUCUCUUUUGGAAAAAAAAUCCAAUUCACCAAUAUAACACUAACUUUCAGCAAUGAUUGCCUUAGUCUUCCCAAAACCCUAUGAAGAAAAAAAAACCUCCAACUCUCUAUCUUUUUCAGCGUGAAGCUAGCUCUCCGACCCUUAAAAUCUUGAUUCUCCCUCCUUCAUUUCUUAACCUAUCCUCCCC